UUUCGCAGCAGACUCAGAUGCGUCGCCCUUUGGUCCAUUCUUGAGUCGUCACGUUCGUCAGGUAGAUCCCAAUACGAUUCAAGAUGUUCCCGUCAAAGUUCGCCGGCGGAGUGAAUGCCUUUAGGCCUAGCGUUGGAGCCCUGAGCAGCCGCCCCGUCUUCACUCUCUAACAGCCAACGACCGCUUCGAGGGAGCCCCGCCCGUGGUUUUUCGGCGCCAGACCCCGCCCACGCCCACAGCAGUUUCUUCAGACCGCAGUACUUCGGACAAUGGUACCUCUGGGUUCUACUAAAAAAAAAACUUAACUCUUCACUCUCUCGAUGGCACGCUAACGACAUCAAGAAUAUAUACAUCUUUCUUUCGAAGUCAGCUGCAAUGCCACAUAGGCCUAGCCACGCUCUUUGUUUAGUUUGCUAACCACUCUGUUGUUUUUUAUUUCUCUGCUGAUUCUAUUCUUCAAAAACUGCU